GAUGAACGCUGGCGGCGUGCCUAAUACAUGCAAGUCGAGCGAACGGACGAGAAGCUUGCUUUUCUGAUGUUAGCGGCGGACGGGUGAGUAACACGUGGAUAACCUACCUAUAAGACUGGGAUAAAUUCGGGAAACCGGAGCUAAUACCGGAUAAUAUUUUGAACCGCAUGGUUCAAAAGUGAAAGACGGUCUUGCUGUCACUUAUAGAUGGAUCCGCGCUGCAUUAGCUAGUUGGUAAGGUAACGGCUUACCAAGGCAACGAUGCAUAGCCGACCUGAGAGGGUGAUCGGCCACACUGGAACUGAGACACGGUCCAGACUCCUACGGGAGGCAGCAGUAGGGAAUCUUCCGCAAUGGGCGAAAGCCUGACGGAGCAACGCCGCGUGAGUGAUGAAGGUCUUCGGAUCGUAAAACUCUGUUAUUAGGGAAGAACAUAUGUGUAAGUAACUGUGCACAUCUUGACGGUACCUAAUCAGAAAGCCAUGGCUAACUACGUG
rnacentral:rRNA from 1 species